rnacentral:rRNA from 1 species
UCGAGAAUCUUCCGCAAUGGGCGAAAGCCUGACGGAGCGACGCCGCGUGCAGGAUGAAGGCCUUCGGGUUGUAAACUGCUGUCACGCUAUAGGAAAAGCCUUCGGGCCUUGACCAAAGCGAGAGGAAGCACCGGCUAACUCCGUGCCAGCAGCCGCGGUAAGACGGAGGGUGCAAACGUUGCUCGGAAUCACUGGGCAUAAAGCGCACGUAGGCGGCCAACUAAGUCAGGUGUGAAAGCCCCCGGCUCAACCGGGGAAUUGCUCCUGAUACUGGUUGGCUAGAGGACGGUAGGGGUGAGUGGAACUCCAGGUGGAGCGGUGAAAUGCGUAGAUAUCUGGAGGAACACCGGUGGCGAAAGCGGCUCACUGGACCGUGUCUGACGCUGAGGUGCGAAAGCUAGGGUAGCGAACGGGAUUAGAUACCCUGGUAGUCCCUGAGCGGGCUGGCAAGGCGCAU